GAUGAAGAACGUAGUGAAAUGCGAUAAGUAAUGUGAAUUGCAGAAUUCAGUGAAUCAUCGAAUCUUUGAACGCACAUUGCGCCCGUCAGUAUUCUGGCGGGCAUGCCUGUUCGAGCGUCAUUACGCCCCUCAAGUCCCCUGUGGACUUGGUGUUGGGGAUCGGCGAGGCUGGUUUUCCAGCACAGCCGUCCCUUAAAUUAAUUGGCGGUCUCGCCGUGGCCCUCCUCUGCGCAGUAGUAAAACACUCGCAACAGGAGCCCGGCGCGGUCCACUGCCGUAAAACCCCCCAACUUUUUAUAGUUGACCUUGAAUCAGGUAGGACUACCCGCUGAACUUAAGCAUAUCAAUAAGCGGAGGA
rnacentral:misc_RNA from 1 species